rnacentral:rRNA from 1 species
GACGAACGCUGGCGGCGUGCUUAACACAUGCAAGUCGAACGGAAAGGCCCUGCUUGCAGGGUACUCGAAUGGCGAACGGGUGAGUAACACGUGGGUGCUCUGCACUGCACUUCGGGUUAAGCCUGGGCAACUGGGUCUAAUACCGGAUAGGAGCCAUCUUCAGUGUGUUGGUUGGAAAGUUUUUUCGGUGUAGGAUGAGCUCGCGGCCUAUCAGCUUGUUGGUGGGGUAAUGGCCUACCAAGGCGGCGACGGGUAGCCGGCCGGAGAGGGUGGACGGCCACAUUGGGACUGAGAGACGGCCCAGACGCCUACGGGAGGCAGCAGUGGGGAAGAGUGCACAAUGGGCGCAAGCCGGAUGCAGCGACGCCGCGUGGGGGAGGACGGCCUUCGGGUUGUAAACUCCUUUCGCUAGGGACGAAGCUUUUUGUGACGGUACCUAGAUAAGAAGCACCGGCUAACUACGUG